ACGGUGUGACUAAGUGUUAGACGAAGUUAAUUUCCGCUUCUUUGGGAGACAAAAAAGCAGAACCUGUUGACGCAGGUAACUUCUAAUAAGCCUUUUCAGUCAGUACUGUAGCAUUGGCUGUGACGGGUGCGGUGCGACCGCUGUGGGCAGAUUUUGGUUCGUCAUUGUACCUGAGUUCGGUGGAGUUAAGCCUGAGUUCACCAUUUCCCCAACAAAAUUGGUGGCUGACACGGCGUUUACAUCACCAGACCAGCAUGUCCGAAGGUUUUUGCCGAACCUGUUGCUCAUAUAACUGCGAUGGUAGCUGCAGGUUGAGUUACCGGCCGCUGUGUCAACAAAUGGGCUAUUCCCGCCAUGGCAUUCCUCCACCAAGACCAACUGUGUUCACGGCACCCUGGGGAGAAGACCCACUGUCGCCAUUAUAUGAGGAUGUUUACUGUUCUUCAUACAUCAGUCACUCCGACAUCGCAGACUUCAUCCGCACCAACAGGGGCUGUCUGUCAGAAAAAAAACCGUCAGCUGCUUCAAGGAGCUCUGACACUGGUCAUCAAUGAGUCCAACUGGGUUUGGAGGAACGCCGAGCUGAUUGUACUCGGCACCCACCACACCCAAGAUAUGGAGGUAGUUUUCUACUCCGGCGACAGAACCAACCAGUUUGUGGUUCACCUGACUUCACAAGAUCGCCCAGCCCAUGUGGUGACAAACAGAGGAUGGAGACUGAAGGCGCGCGACGCCGUCAAGACCUGCUGGGGCUGGAUAAGAAGUGCGGCCAGCACGGUUGUUGGGGCAGUAACGGGCGGUUUUAUGAGGUCGAUAGGGUGGUAGUGUGUCACCUAUACAAAUUCUCUCAAAUCUACUAAAUUCACGUCUGAAAGAAAUCAACUUCUAAGCAGAUAGUAGAGAGAUAAUGAAUGAAAAAAGUACUCAUGUAUAGUGCCGCACGUGCACGGCAGAUACUAAAAUGUCAACAUUACAGGUCAAAUUGUUGCGAACAGAAGUAAAGCCCCCGUAACACGUUCAGACUUUAGACUGGCUUAAGUAAGUUCUGUAGCAGUCUGAAUAUAGUUAGGCCACGCGAAUCGAGUUUGAAUCAAAUUUGAGUGCCAACCACU